CCUACCUCACUAGUGUAUAGGGUUGGGGUGAAGUCCUGAGGUUCAGCCUGUAGAAGCCCUCACUCAAAUCCCUCUCCAAAUUGAUCCUUUCUCUUUCUUUGACUAUCAGAAAUGAUCAGGAUUAUUAUGAGGAUUAAAAAAAUAAGGCUGCCAAGCACUCAAUCAUUGCCAAGAGAAUAUGUACCAGUACAAAGUGUUAACCUCGUUUGGAUUUGAACCCCCGUCCUCAAGAG